rnacentral:rRNA from 1 species
GGGGAGUAACUAUUGGAAACGAUAGCUAAUACCGCAUAACAGUAGAUAUUGCAUGAUAUCUGCUUGAAAGGGGCAAUUGCUCCACUACCAGAUGGACCUGCGUUGUAUUAGCUAGUUGGUGAGGUAACGGCUCACCAAGGCGACGAUACAUAGCCGACCUGAGAGGGUGAUCGGCCACACUGGGACUGAGACACGGCCCAG